rnacentral:rRNA from 1 species
UGUGGCUUACGGAUGGGCCUGCGGCGCAUUAGCUAGUUGGCGGGGUAACGGCCCACCAAGGCGACGAUGCGUAGCCGACCUGAGAGGGUGAUCGGCCACACUGGGACUGAGACACGGCCCAGACUCCUACGGGAGGCAGCAGUAGGGAAUCUUCCGCAAUGGGCGCAAGCCUGACGGAGCAACGCCGCGUGAGUGAUGAAGGUUUUCGGAUCGUAAAGCUCUGUUGCCAGGGAAGAANGUCGCGGAGAGUAACUGCUCUGCGAAUGACGUACCNAGAGAAGC